CCAUCAACCUGCAACCUCAAUGCACAUGUUGUCUUCACCUUCUGCUGUCAUUACAGCUGUGCUCACACUCUCUUGAUUAGAGGGUUCCUGAUCUCUCUCUUAUCUCCCUGCAGGGUGUGGCUACUUUCUCCUCCUUCCCCAGUGGGCCAGCAUGCAUAAGGAAGGGAAGCAAGAGGCAAAUUUAGCAGUGACCCUGUAAAGCCUCCAUCCCACAUCUCUAUCUGCCCAAGCUAUGCCCAGAGGUCCCAUGUGCUGAACUGGGGGCCCAAGGGAGACCAGUGGAAGCCAGCGCUGAAGGAUACUGAGCUGGAUCAGCUCCAGGACCUGACUCGCAGCCCAGCCCCAUGAGAUGUUGUGCCAGCACAAUGAAGCAGAGUCACAGGAGCACGAACGGCCGAGAAUGCUUCAAGCCAGCCUCACUGCCAAAUGUGGAGCCCCCUCCUGCACGUAUGCAAGUAAACCCUGAUCUUUUUCAGUGUAACCAUCUGUGAUCUGGGCUCAAGGGCUGAUUUCCAUCACUUGGGCUUUCAGUAAUGCUACCAGGCUCUGGGGAUGAGGCCUGCAGGAGCGGGAUUUUGCAGCACAAACAGCCAAUUAUGCAGUAACCAGAACAGUCCCGUGAGAGAUCAUUCCAAAAACAAACAAAAAAAAUCUGUUCCCUUUGCCCUUUGUUUCAUUUAGAAUAGAAGGAUGUGUGUGGUUGGGUUUAUCAAAAGAAUUUAAAUGGCAGUUCCUAAUCUUACAGUGCAGAAAUGUUUUAACAAUCUCACUGAAAAUAAAAUAAAAUUACACUUCUGCUAGGGCAAAGAGUAAAAGCAUAUUUGGUCCCUGCAGCAGAGGUCUGGGAUGAGAGUCUGUGAGGAUUACAAGAAACCAGGAGUGAUAACAGAGCCGGAAAGGGCAUAGAAGAGUUUCCUGCAAUGUCUUGAAGAGGAAAGGCUUCAUCAGCUGCUCCCAUGUCCCCACAGGGGCUUGGCACAGGGAUUUCCAGUCCCAAAAGACUAAAGCUCUGCAGGCAAACACAAAGGAGACACUUUCUGCUGUGGGAAGCUCAGCAAUGUGGAGAAGGUUACCCGAGCGGCUAUGCCAUCUCCAGUCUUUAUUUUCAAGAACCGACCAGGUAAAGCCCUGAUUUCAGGGCUGACCCUGCUUUGGUUGGGCUGAGACCUCCUGAGGUCCUUGCUGACCUGAAUUACCCCAUGAUCCUCAAAGGGGAGAGGGGGAAUGAGCAAGAAAGCCCUUUUAUGCAAAGAGGUGGGCAAUCUCAAUGAGCUUCAGGCUGAGAGGCAUGUAGCCCAGAAAAGCACAGGAACAUGUUUUGAGAGGGACAGGGGCCCUCUGAGAAACCAAAGGCAUGUAUCCUGCACCAGAGCAAACACCAGCUUUCCUGAACAGCAGAUACGCAACCCUGGUAGCAAAACUUCCUGCACAGUUCCCCUCAACUGUAGAUAAAAUUAUAUUAGAUAUAAUUUUUAGCUCUUUCUGUAACUACCCUUCCUGGCCUGACCUUGGUGGACAAGAAGCCCUCCUGCCCACAGCUGCCUGGAGUUCAGGAUGCUCCCAGAGUUUCCUGAAGGUGCUCUUUCAGCACACGCAGCCCUAGUGGGGCUCAACUGGGCUAUGACAAAGUGCUAUUCCUGGCGCUUGCCUGCCAGGUCCUCAUCUGUAGGACCAACUUGUGGCAAAAGCCUAGCAUGGACCUACUGCUAAGCUGAGUGUUUUGAGCUAACCAAGCCCUAAUUUCACUUGAGGUGUCAGAGGAAAGAAUGCUGAGACGAGAGGACCUGAGUGGCAGUCACCCAUGCAGUGGAGAGCGGAUUCUUCAUGCAGCAUCUUGGCAGCUAUUUGCACUUGGCCACGGACAGAUCAUGUUGGAGCCAGCGUCACACACAGUGCUCUUAGGAAAACACUAGGGACUGCCGAGAGUGGUGACAGCCCAGAUUGGCCCUGCUGUCUUCACCAGUGCUUUACAGUGUUCUCCUAACCUUUGACUUACAAGGUCUUGGCAGGCAGGGAGCAGAGAUCAGGAGUUUCCUUGGGGUUGUGCCAGGUGUGGAGCAGAUGUUCUGGGGACCUGUCUGGUCUAGUCCGCAUGUGACUGCAGCAGGCGGGCGCUGAGUGCUCAGCUUGUUUCAUCCAGCCACCCUCAGCCCUCGCUUCCUAGGCUGUGAUUAAACCUACACAGCAUUUCCUCUCACUGAUCAGUUGCUGGGGCUGGGGCCAGAGGCAGCUGCCUGGACACAGGGUCACCCAUUGCCUCUCCCCCCUGUGCUCAGCUCCCUGCAGGUGUCAGGGUGAAUUUGUCUGACUGCACUUUGUCCUACCCAUCUAAACUUUUGACACCCCAAACCACCUGCGGCAAGAUGCAGCUCAGCUCUGCGUGGUGAGCUCAACCAUCUCCUUUUGUCUGCACUGCACUUGCCAGCUGCUGGUUUCUCAGGAUGCCCCCCGGCUCUGUUAUCAGUAAACAACUGUUCCCAUCUCACUGUCUCCAUGCCACGGGCAGCAUCGCGGAUCUCGAGGACAGCAGCACCUCAGCUCCGUCACUCCCAAGCUGGAGAGUAUUGUGAGUUUCGUAACUUAAGUCACACAUAAAAGGGCCCUUCCUUCUUUAUUUUUAAACAGCAGCAGAGCGGAGGAGCAGUGGAAGAAGGGUGCUUCCACGUGUGAGAGGAUUGCUCAGGCAGCUGAUGGCCUGACCACACCUAGGGUGUUACCUGCUCCUACUGGCAAAGACCAGCGACAAGCACAGCUCUGCAGCAGCAACUGACAGCAGCAACAAACCUGACAGUGCUGCGGAUCUACAAUCAACCCUGAGAGUCUUUUAUGGCACAUUUACUCUCCCCAAUUCUACUGAAAACAAAAACAAAAACAAAAAAAAAAAAAAACAUGCUCCCCAUGUUAUUCAUAUCUAACCUGCCCUGGCUUUGUUUGAGUGCCUGCUUGGAGUGAGCUUAUGCUGGGAUGCUGGACUGGGCUCUCCCUUCACCAGCCUCUGCUACUGAAGUACUGCAGGGCCAGCUGCAAAGUGCUGACUUGCACCAUUUAGGAACCAGCACUUUGACUUCAGUGGGCCAAAUUGCUGUUCCCGUGUCGUAGAUGUCCUACUGUCCUCCUGCAGUUUGGAAGGGUUUGUGUCAGCACAGUCGUGUACCAUCACCACCAGUCGUGUACCAUCACCACCAGUCGUGUACCAUCACCACCAUCUGCUCGGGAUGCUGGCCUGCAGGUACCUGGUGCUGUAAGGCUCCAUCCCCUGCCUGCCUGAGGGGCCUGGUUCUGUUCUCCUGUGGAGCUGAGCAUGGAUCCAGCCUCUUGAGGUCCAUCUAAUUCCAGUCAGAGGCUCAUCUCCCAGUGUUGCUUGGGUGCAGGCUGGGGCACACUUCCUCCCAGAAAUGCUGCCUGUGUCAGAUACUAAGGGCUGGAGUCUCAGCAGGGGACAACUCAGGAGCCAGCCCCUAAUCCCAAACCUUACACUGGACAAGCAGCACCCACACCUGCACAGGCUAUCCAGAUGCUUGUUGUUCCUCCUCCUUCUUCACAGAGUUUUGAAAGUCCCAUAUCUCAACCCAGAAGCAAUGCCAAGAGCAUCACGUACUGAAAACAAGACGAACUGCCUUGCUGUGUGAAAGUCAGUGUUACAGAUUAACCUGCGGGAAUGGCCGGGAACAAGUCCAUUCGCUUCCUCCCCAGAGGAAAGCAUGAAUAUCUUUCUAGGGAACAGAGAGGUUUUAAUUAGUGCUCCCUUCUGCAUAAAGCCCGGCUCUCCUACUCCGUCUCCUCAGAUGAACACAGCUAUAAUUAAGAGGCAGCAGUGUCAGGAAUGAGAGCAGGCUCCAGCCUGUGAUUUAUUAAGGGCUGUCGUGGGUGCAAUUACCUUUCUCUCUUCCCCUCUCCCCAGUGUUUUCAUAAAGUGAAUUUACUGAUGAAAGAGGUGUCUCAGGCUAGGGCAAACAGAUGUCUCAGUGCUUAUCUUCUGCACAGACACAGCAAAAGCAGAGUUGCUGCUUCUUUCUCCAUAGAGUUACCAUCGAAAGCCUCAAACCUGGCUUGGAGGAUUUCAUAUCUACGAGUCCCAGUUCUGGCCCAAGCCGCAAGCCUCUGUGACUCCCUGUGAGCCACACCUGGACUAAGAACCAGCACCCACCAGCACCCUCCUCACUGCCAACCAUCUCCUGCAGGAUGAGGAGUGACCCCAAAGGAAUCCUGCUGGUAGCAAUGAGGAGUGAGCAGCAGUAAAGGACAAGGCACCUGCUUUAUCCUCAGCAAGGAGGUGAGUUAGGGUUAGGGUUUGGGUUUGCUGACUUCAUAUUUGCUGGUGCAGGUAUCUAAGAGCCCACAGCUUGGGUGGCAGCUCUAGUUCUCCCAGCAGCCAACACCUCCAACACACAAAGAGCUUCUGAGUUAGACACAGCCCUGGUGUGAAGCCAGCACAGGCACCUUGUCGCCUUGUCCCGUCUCCGAAAACCACCGUGAGGAGCAACAAGUGAGUGGCGCUGUGCUCCUCGCUGGAGCUCAGUGAUCGGCUCCCAGAUAGUUCCCACUUCUGGUUGUCUUCAGCGAGAGGGAAGCUGCAUGUAAACAGUCUGGGGGAGGCUGGUGUUGGCUCAGACUGUGCCUGCUCACUUGAUUUAAUCACCAUCCUGCUAGUGGCAGUUUUUUACUUUCUGUAUUGCUUAGCAAUGGUCAGCAUUACUGCUGGGUGGCUGAACUUUGGUUUAUUGCCAUUCAAAUGGUCCGCAAUUUACCUUUGUAGGAUAUAAAUCUGGACAGGCUCAGACUGAUAAGAGAGUGGGAGAAAAAAAAAAAAAAAGGAAGUAGGAAGAACAAAAUUCAAGCAAAUUCAAAUUAUGAAAAGCUUUGAAGUGCCAGUAACCCGGCUGAAAACCAAAGCAAAGAAAGCAUUAAAGCAUUUGCUGGCUCUUUUCAAGGUGGUGUUGAAGACCCAAGCCCAACUAAUGCGGAGCGUUACUGCUCUACUGGCCACCAAAGGAGCCGCCUGUGCCCUGGGCAAGGCUGGGCUGGAGGUCAGUGAGCCACGAGGGCUCAUUUGUGCCACACCUGCCCAUCACGACAGCCAGAGCUGCUGCCAGAUCCUAUCAGCUGCCCCCUUCCUGUGAGUCCCCACCUUUGGCUUUCUCUUCCUAUCCCUAUCCCCAUCCCCAACCCACCACCACAACUGGGAACAGCCCCAGCACAGCCCCUCCUUCCCAUGGGAUCCCACAGGACACAAACUCCUUCCUUGUGACAACAAGUCCAGAAUGGACUCAGUGUGAGUGGAGGAAGGUAGUGUGUGUGCCCACUGUCCAGAAGGCAAGCUUUUGGGGAAGCUUUUGGUCUGCUUCCUUGGUGGAACCUCGGUGGUGGUGAGCACAUCGCAAUAAAACCCUUGGGAUCAUUCAGGGAAUGGGAACACGGGCUGAGCACUCCUGGGAAACUGCAGUGCAGGUGAGUGGGGAAAGUCUCCAGACUGGUCCAGCUCCCAGCUACACACCCUUCCUCAUUGUGAUUCUUCCUGAUUUAUCUGAACUACCAGGAAAUAAAAACACUGGAGCUCUUUUGGUUAACCCCCUGUGGCAUCGUGUAUUUCAAGUUUUCAGGCAGUGACAUCCCCAGCUGGGUGGAAAGGAAACCUCCCACUUCCCUGGGAGAGGAAGAGCUCUCACGUCAUGCAGAGUUGGCUUCGUCCAUGCAGGAGCAGCUCAAUGACACCAGUGCAUGGGAUCGUCUCUCCAUGAUCGAAUCCCUCUUGGCAGCGUUUCUGCCAAGUGUUUCAUCCUUCCCCUCCCUUCGAGUGGGAGGCUGGAAUACCUCCUGGGUAGGUAGGUAAGUAUUUUUUCUGGGCACCUGCUGAACCUUGGCCAAAGUAGGGUAAUUUAGGAGGCCGUGCUGGAAAAGCCAAGUGCUGCCAGGUCUUCCCGGUACUGCGUGCAUGCUGCUGCUCACCACAAGACACCCUGCUGCCGAGAAGGCUUUAUUGCAGCGCGGGAAGCCAUCAUUUGCUGCUCCAGGAAGUUGGUGCACUUGUCCCAGCACUUCUGCCCGGGACACGCAAGGGAAGGCUGGUGAGGCUCGAGUAUUUUUAGAGGGUGAUGAAUUUUAUUGCCAAUGACACCAAGCUCAUAGGCUAAAGGCCGUGCAAAGACAUGCGCUGACUGCUGUUUUGUAAAACAGACGUGAGGCCAGACAUCAGCCCCGCACAAGGAGAAGAUGGCUGAGUCCUCGUCAAAACCACAAACCUGCCCUGACAGCAUGCAGAGCAAGACCGUGGCAUGGAAGAGAGAAAGAAAGCAAGACAGUGUGGUGGAGAUGGCUCCAAAGCAGCACCCCAGGACCCAGCCCUCGGGGAAUAAUGCUCCGAGGCUCCCCACACACACUCAGGCUUUGCACCCAGACUUAUUUAUAUGGAUGUUUCUCAAGCCUACACAAGCCAACGCAUAUAUUUCCUGUUUCACUCCUUUCUUUGUCUACCAGAAGGACUGAAAGCUCACGAGUCCAUUAGGGUCUCUUCUGAAUCGCUGUCCCUAUGCAGUUAUGCUUCCAGGCUGAAUUUCUCUGUGGCCCUGCGAAAAACUCUCUGUUUUCCAGCACGUUCAAAACUAUCUGGUGAAGGGUGAGAUGCCAGCACACAUCUGCAGACGUGGCCCCGAGGCCAUCCAUCUCAGCAGGGGCUCCUUGCUGGGAUGAACAGCCCAGUUACUCCUUUGGAGUGAUGCUGGCUGGCCUGGGUUCCUCCUGUGCAACCCCUCCCUGCCUCUUCGUGCCCUUUCCUGAAGCCAGGCAGCCCCAGCAGGACAGCCCUACAAAAUGGUGGCUGCUGCUAACGCUACCGCAGACGGCUCCUUCUUCACAACGCACCUGCGUGCACGCAGGCGAGCUGCUGUCCAGCUUGGCAAGCACCCCGUCCAUGCAGACAGGGAGUCGGUCAGAUGGAGCCACAGCAGCAACAACCCAGAGGACCUACUUGGCCAGGCUCAGGGCCAGGUUUUGUCACUCCAGCUGAUGGUGAGUUGUUUGCAGUCAACAAAAGUAGGCACCAAAGGAGAGAGGCUGUCUGCCUCAGAUACAGGGCCCGUGGCCCAGAAGAUAUUUCCCCCUUCAGGCUGCUCACCUCUGACUUAGUGAGUUUGCCCGCUCUGCUGCUGGGAGGUGACAGCCACGGUGGCAGAAAGCUGAGGACUGCAAGCUUGGCAAACUGCUUUAUCACACCGAGCAAACGGGGGAGUAUGCGUGUGCGUGCACAGCAGCAGCGCUCUGUCACAGCUGUUCCCUUCCUUGGGUCUUUACCAAUAACCUGAUCAAUGAUGCUGGUGCUCAGCUGCUUCUCCAGUGCCCAGAAACAGACCCAGGCCCUGUAACUUUUUUCCUUACAUGCUUAACCCACCCUUCUUGUCCUGCAGAGUGCAGCAGAUCCUGUGCCGGACUCGCUGCAGAUUCCUGUGCACGCUGCAGGGCUGGGAUCCAGCUGAGAGAGCAAGAA